GAUGAACUCUGGCGGCGUGCCUAAUACAUGCAAGUCGAGCGAACAGACGAGGACCUUGCUGCUCUGACGGUAGCGGCGGACGGGUGAGUAACACGUGGAUAACCUACCUAUAAGACUGGGAUAACUUCGGGAAACCGGAGCUAAUACCGGAUAAUAUAUUGAACCGCAUGGUUCAAUAGUGAAAGACGGUUUUGCUGUCACUUAUAGAUGGAUCCGCGCCGCAUUAGCUAGUUGGUAAGGUAACGGCUUACCAAGGCAACGAUGCGUAGCCGACCUGAGAGGGUGAUCGGCCACCAUAGAGCUGAGACGCGAUCCAGAAUACUACGGGAGGCAGCAGUAGGGAAUCUUACGCAAUGGGCGGAGGACUGACGAAGCAACGCCGCGGGGUUGAUGAAGGUCUUCGGAGCGUAAAACUCUGCUAUUAGGGAAGAACAAGUGUGUAAGUAACUGUGCACGUCUUGACGGUACCUAAUCAGAAAGCCACGGCUAACUACGUG
rnacentral:rRNA from 1 species